CCAGCCCAGACUAUCCCCACCGCCGGGCCGCCAGCCUGGCUGCUGUCUCUCCGGGAGCCGCUGCCAAGCCGUCAGCUCCUUUCAUCGCCCCAAGGCAGCCAGAGGGAGCGCCAGCAGCAGCCUUGGCACACGCCCGCUCCGGCCACUCCCGGCGUGUUCUCAGACACAGACGCCAGCCCAGCGGGGCGGGCACCCAGCUCCGAGCCCACGGCUGCAACAAGGAAGGGUCACUGGGGGACCCAGCCCCCUCAUUACACGUCAGGAAACCUGGGCUGGGGAUCAGCCAGGCCUCCUUUGAAACUGUCUAGCCAAAUCAGCCCGUCAGAGUGGCGAUCAGAUGUCCAUGGGAGGCGGUUCCCUCUGCUGGAAUGUUCUCCAUCCCUCCCCCACCGGCCAGCCCCUCAGGGCUCAGCGAGGGCAGGCCCUUCCUCAGAGGCCCUGACCUUCACCCAGGGCCAAGCUCCCUCUUAGCACUCAUAGCACCCAGCCCAGGCGCCUGGCUGUCAGCCCAGAUGGGCACCUAAGCUAAGGAAGCUUGGGGGAGGGACGGGGGACCUCGCAGGGCUCCCCGUGGGUCCACUUGGUGGUCCUGCUCCUCCCGACAUGUGGGCACAGGCUGGCCUUCCAGGACUUCCGUGUUUGGCUCCUGGAGGCAGGACCCCUGUCCCCAUCCUGACUCCGGGCACCCAGAGGCAGCCGAGAGCUGGGCAGGGGGAUACCCAACUCCACGGAGAUGCCCAUGGCCUCAGGAAACUCUGUCCCACGCCCUUGGCUUUGAGGUGAGGAUAAGAGAGCCCAGCCCUGGCUCCAGGAUCACCUCCAUAGAGUCCGUCCUGGGUCUCUGAGCCUUCACUUCCUCCUCUGCCAAACGGAUUCUGAUUCUUCCUGGUCAGGCUGCUGACAGGUGAGCCAAGGUGAUAGACACAGGCCCUGCCCUUCCGCGCCCUCCUGCUGCCCUCCUUUCAGAGUGAGAAAGCUGUGAGCUGGGUGAGAGCCCCUGGAGAGAGGCAAAGGUGGCCAGCCUGUCCUCUCUGGGGCCUCCCUCUGCCCCUUCCGGGCGUCAUGGAGAAAAGCAGGCAGUCCAAGACUGGCAGGAGGCAGGGUACCUCCUGGCGGCAGGGGUCUUUGGCUGGCCGCACUGGCCAGGCAGCGAGGGAGGGAGUGUCUGCAACAGGAACCACAUCUGAGGAGCUAAGGAAAAGGGCUGUGAUGUGUGAGGACAGUAAGUUGAAGGAAGAGUGAGAAAGAAGCAUGUGGAAGGGAGAGACCCUAGUGGCUCCGAGGCCCUGGCCCCUGCAGCCAUCAGUGCCCACCAGGCCGGCCCACUCCAGACUCCGGGUCUCCCAGUUCCGGCUUCAGCUUCAGGGAGAGAAUCCCACUGGGCUGCGCUUGGGUCAUGUGUCCAGCCUGCACCAAUCAACCAAGGUGGAGUUGGGGUCACACAGCAGAGAGUGAGCCUGGCCAAUCCCAGAGAGGGGAGAAACUGUGGGCGGGGCAGCCACUGACAGGUGGCUCCUCAUUUUACAGGUGGGAGGUAGACAGGCCCCCAGGGCAACUGUCCCUCGGUAAUGUGUCCCGGAAUCCUUGGACCAACCCAAAGGCCCAGGGUGGGAGGGAGCCAGUGUGCUCCUGAAGGGAGGAGAGGUGGGGCAAGGCUCCCAGGUGGGCCCCAGCGCAGGGAGCAGGCAGGUAAGAUGAGGUCCCUGUUUUGAGCAAUGACGCUGGUGAUGAGGCCAGGAGUUGAUCCAGGAGGACGGAGGGAGUGGAUGCAGGACAGGGUGAGGAGGGUUAAGAGCAUGACCUGGGCCAUCCGGGUCAGGUGGAGGGAGAGGAGCCACCGGCCAGGGCUCCAGGACACACGAUGGUGCUUGCUGGGUGACACAGAGGAUCGAGUGGGAAGCCAGCCAGCAGCAGGACCAACAGUUCAGUCUGAAACAUCUUGAGCCCGAGGUUCUGUGGUCCACUUGGGAGAGAAGGUGAGAGGGUGGUGGCCACAGGGGAGAGAGGCCUGGGCUGCCAUUGGGGACUGGGGGGGACUGACAUGGACAGAGGUGGCCUGCGAGGUCAGAAGAGUGGUCAAGACAACAUGGGAGAUGCCUGGAAAAGAAGGGAGGCCGGGACUGAGUCCUGAGGAACGCAGCAUUCAAGAGAGGAGUGCCGGAGGAGCAGUGGGGAAGCGGAGGAGCGUGGGGAGGGGCGAGAGUCAGGCCAGGGGGCUAGACCGGGAGGGCCCCAGGAAGAGAACUGGACCUGACAACCAGGAGGCCAGAGGAAGCCUUGAGGAAGGGUCCCCUCACAGGGGCUGGGGUUAUGGAAGUGAGACAGGAGACACCCACCCAAACAGGGCAUCUCUCUGUGCCCCUGAUUCUCUGUACUUGGGAGCAAUUCUCCGUUGUGUUGAGAAUAAUGACCCCAAUGUCCAUCGGGGCAGAGAUUUCUUCAGUUAGCGUCUGAAACAUGUUGGGAGAUAGCCACCUUCUAUUCCCAGGGCUCCCUAGUAAGCCGAGGUUACCCCAUUUUACAGAAGGGAAAACAAGCAGAAGCAGCUCAUCAAAGGACACACAGCACAUGGGAGGCAGAGCUGGGACCAGGGCUAAGGACCCUGGUAGCCAACCCAGCAUUGUCUCCUCCUGACCUUGUCCGCGCUCCAGGUGAUGCUGGGAGUGAAGGUCACCGCCACAAGGGAGUAAGAGCAUCUCUGGUUAGACUUCCUCUCCCCAGGCCUCAGCCCCUCCAUCCAGGAGCCUGAGCUGGGCCUCUGCUUGGCCGUGAUGCCCUCUCUCUGGAUCCACCCAAUGAGGUCAAGAAGGUGCCCCAGCUCUCCCGGCGAGGGCUGGGAUGUCCUGGGUGGAUGCCCACUCUGGUCAGUUGCCAGCAUCUAGACUCCCCACACACCAGCAACUUCAGGAAGGAGGCACAAGGGCAGACAGGCUCUCAGAUGGGCACAAUUCCAGGGCCGUCAUGGCUUCCGGGAGCUUGAUGGGGCCAGGUUCAAAUCCUGGCUCUUCCACUUGCUACCUGAAUGACCUCAGACAAGUGUGAACCGCAUGUCAGAGCCUUCAUUUCCUCAUCUGUAUUGUAGAGGAUCGAUGUGCCUAUCUCCCAGGGCUGCUGGCAGGAUUAGAUAGGUUGCCCUUCGAACAGUCACCUGGAAGCAGGGGGAGGAGCCUGUUCAUGUUGGGCGUUGACCAACAAGAACCAGCAAGAGAGAUGAAGAUGGAUCUGCCCUCGCACAGCUGCAGCAGACUCGCACACUUGGAGGCAACAUGUGACGUGGAGAGACACACUUUAUGUCCAUGUUGUUGGGGGAGCAGCCUGUGCCGUCCCUCGGUGAGCUGGCAUCCUCCUGGCCCUGCUGAGCAAGUGAGCAGAGAUGCGGGGCCAGCCCGGCUCCCAGCCCUGCUACUCCAGCCUCAUCAGCCCCACUCCCUCUCUGGCCUUGCCUCCCUCCUUCAGCACCACCCCGGACUGCGCCAGCAAACCCCGCUCCAUCCCUCAUCCCUUUAACAUCCCUUGGCCCUUGCGCCAAGCCCUGUGCUCAAGCCAGUGGGUGCAGGUGAAGGAGCUGGGUCCCUGUGCAGGGAGAGACAGAAGCUGUAAGAAGAGGCCAGCAGCCAGACACCCAGCCCCGCCGCUCCCCUGCUGGGUGACCUCGGGCAAGUCACUGCAUUGCUCUGGGCCUGUUUCUUCAUCUGUAAAACGGGAUGAUGCCAACCCUAACCUCCCCCUCGUGGGACCAGUGUGAGUAUUAAAUAUAAGUCAGGGCAGGUGAAGUGUUCAGAAAGCGCUGGGCCCAGCAUGCGGGCUGAGUAGGUGUCACUGUUGGUACCAUCGCUGUCACCCUCGGUGCUGGGACAGUGGGUCCAGAUGAGGAGAAAAUGCUGCUUUAUGCUCAUUACUUCCAUCCUCACAACCCCGCUAGAAGGCCACUGUCAGACCCAGAGAAUAGAAUAGGAAACUGAGGUCACACCAAAGCCACCAGACACUGUGCGUGAAGCCUGUGUUCGACCCACCUAGCCCGGUGAUAAGGAUGGGGCAGGAUGAGGGGGGCAGUGCGCUGUCAGAGAGGGGGCUCCUGGGGGCUCUGCAGGACCCCGUGUCCCUGUGUCCUAGGAGGCCGGCAGCCCUGUGGCCUCAUCUCGGUCAGGACCAGGCCAGCCAUCCUGCCCACUGGUCCUCGGGUUCUGGCCCAACUGUCCCCUCCUCCUCGGAGAGGCCUUUGAGCCUCCCAGGGCACCAGCCCCAAAGGACAGCGCCCUCCAGGCCUUCCUUCCAGGCUGGUGAGACGUGUCUCAGCCGAGGUCAUCUCUGUCAUCACUCAGACCAGACGACGUGGGAGGCAGCCACGAGGAACUCCUGUCCUCUCUCAGAGCCCCCUCCCAGGGCCUCCUGCCCAGGUUUCCCUUUAGACCCAUCUCGAGUCCCCCUGGGUGUCUUGAGUCCCAGGACCCGGCAGGGUGGUGGAUCUCUGACAAGCAGAAACAAAGAGGAGGUGCUGGUAGAAGGAGCCCAGGCCGCCCCGAGGCCUGGGAGCAGCUGGGACCCAGCCUCGUUUCCUCGUCCGUGCAGCGAGAGCCACAGCACCUACAGGAGCCCCAGGGUCCUGAGGGAACCACCUUGAGCCUCAGUCUCCUCAUCUGUAAACCGAGGCUGAUGACUCCAGGCCCAUGUCACAGGACCGCAGAGAGAAAUGCCCGACAUUGGGACUGUGGGGUCACAGGAACGUGAUUCCUGACAGCGGGAGCGGGGAGGACGAGGAGGAGGCAGAACAGGAAAAUAUUUUGAAGGCUGGUCUCUAAGUGGCUUUAGGAACCACUAAGCCAGAAUGGCCUGGACAAGGUCAGCUGGUUUGGUGCCCACCUUCCCGCCCAUCGCUGGGCCACAGACUGUCACACAGGUCAGAGCCCCCCAGUCCUCUGCCCUUUCCUGAACCAUCUGGAAGCUGGAAAGUCACUGUCCUGACACAGGUCACAACAUCCGAGCACCUUCCCCAGACAGACCCCAGGCUGGGCACCGAGGAAGGGUUGCUUGCACCUGAGCUGGGCCUGAGCUGGGCCUGAGCUGGGCCUUGAAGGAGAAGCAAAGUCCACCACUCCCUGCAGGGAGCUGUGGGCAGACACACCCCAAAAAACAAAUACACUGCGAUGGGCGCCAGGACAAGCCACCGAGAGCAGCAGGACAGCCAGUGGCCUGAGGGCAGGGGUGGGCGCCACCUGCUGGUCACAGAUGAGAAGUGCACCUGGUGCCCACUUGGUCCUUCUGGAGGAGCCCGUGCUCCGGACUCUGAAGCCCUGGGCGGUGACUCCUGGGCUCCCACCCGAGGCACAACAUCCUCCUCCCCACGAGUUUCUCCAAAUAGCUGCUUCACGUGCUUUUCAUAGACGUGAUGUUUUUACAUGUCAGAAGUGUGUCAGAUACUCUAUAAAUCUUCAUAAACUCCCCAAACGUGGUACAGGGCUGGCCCCUGUGCUAGGCACUGGUGACAUGGUGACCAGCCAGAUAGCCAUGGUCCCUGCGGGCUCUGAGGGCAGGAGGCCAAUACUAAACACUGUCACAAAGGGCCCAUUUAGUGACAAGCGUAAUCACGGCUAACGGGGAAGCGGAGAGGGGAACGUUGCGUCACUUGCCCCCUCGCCAGCUCUGCAAGGACGGAUGUGACUGCUGCUUUACAGACGAGGCUCAGAGAGGUGGAGUGGUCCACGCGGCAGGAGGAGAUGCAGCUCAGACAGGGACCCAGGGCUGCCAGGCCACCGGAGGCGGGAGGGUGCAGGCUCCCCCGCAGGCCCACUGCCAGGCUGCAGAAAUGGUCCCCAACUCCCUUCCUAACAAGGCCCAGAGAGCAGCUGUGUCUCCAAAGCCUGGUUUCAAUGGGUUUCUG
rnacentral:lncRNA from 1 species